GUGCUUCCAGCGGGUGGUGGGGGGCCUGGUGUGCUGGCAUCAAGUAAGCCGACUACCUCGGCAAAGGCUUAGGGACAAGAGACCAGCAGCCUGAACUGGCUGGGGCAUCCGGAAGGCUUAGAUCUUGUGGCCAAGAGUUCAGACCGUGGCGAAGUGGAGAGUGACAUGCAGUUGGAUGGCGGUGACUGCGUGGUAUGGAAGAAAAUUCAGCUGAAAUUUGCUAGAAAAUGAGUUGUUUUGGAAAGAGACUGUAGAGAAAGGCAAAUGGAAGAAGAAAGCUUCUGUGCCCCCACAGAUACCGACUGAAAAGUGUUAGCAUGAGCAAAAGUUCCUAUCUAAUAUUAUAUGCUUUCCUUUGCUCCCAGCAUUCCACAAUCACGGGCUACUUCAAUUCUGCCUGCUGAGCUGAUUUAAUAAUCUGGAAGAGGAUUAUUCUCCCCCAUCUGGAAGAGGAUUAUUCUCUAUAAUCCCAGUUAGAGACACAAUGACAUAAACAUCGCUGUCCUGCAACCCUGGUUCCAGUCUGGCAAGCAUUGUAGACCUGGCUGCUGAAGACUGACGGGGCCCAGGGUCCGCUGCCCCCACCGCCAUCACCACCUCGGAACCCAGGGUAACGCUGUCAGUCUUUGAUGAUGUCAGAAGUGGGAUCCAAAGUAGAGCUUAUAAUGACACCUAGGAGUGCUGAGUGACCAAGCAAGGUACCCACCAGGCCGAUUAUGUCCAUUGUUCUCUUGGAGCAGCUGGUCAUCAUGGGAAAGGGUGCCACACUGGGAAUGCAAGCUGUCCUUGCUUCUGAACCAAGACUACUAUUGUGCCAGGAAGAGGGUGGGAAAAGAAGCCAAUAAAACUUUUCUUUUGAGUGAUUUGCAGCUUUUAACAAGUAAGUAAAAUAUACUCCUGUGAACAAAAUUUGGAGCAUAUUUGUUUCUCUCUACCUGAUUUCUCCAGAAUUUGGAAACUAUUUGUGAGUAUUCUUAACUUAUGACAAUAUAGUUAUUUGCAUAAGUGCAAUAAGAAUGUUUUCUUUUGUAACAGGACAAAAUAAAAGAAACCAGUUAUUUUACCAAGGCUUUGACUGGAAUGGCAUGCUUUCCUUUAAGGAAUCGAAUUUGGCUUACAGGGCCAAUAAAAGCCCCUUGGGAAAACUGGCCUCAUACCCUGUCUACACUGUCCCGUACAGGGUUCCUGACCUGUAGUAAAUAAAGAAUGUCACUUUCUAACAGGCCCAGGAGCCCUAGGUUAUCUUGGGACCUCGAAAAAAGAGGAAUUUACCUAACUGAUAAAUAUUUGAUAGUACAAACCUAUGGCUAGGCUUGGCUUUGGAAAAAAACCUUAUCUGAGAUUCCUUUUGUGGAACAAAGUCCAAUCAAAGCCAAUUUAAAAAGCCUAUGUGAAAAAUGAUUAUUUUUGCUGUACUUUACACAAAUAAUCAGGCUAAGUGUAAGACUAUGGCGUAUUUUUGCAAACAAAUCAGCCCUGUUAGGAUUUGUCUUUAGUAAAAAUGGGAGAAUGGAGAGAUAGAAAAAACAUAUUUUAAAAACAAUGGUACACUUGUUAUAAAAUUGUGAUCUCAUCAGUUAUUUUUGAGUUUUCUUUCUACGAUUUAGACUGAACCUGCUUAUUUCUGUGAACCAACCAGUGAUCUCUUAUGGCUGUUCAAAAGUAACAAGAGAGAUAUCACCUUUUGUCAUAACUCAAGUCUUAUGAAUGGCCCUCACCAUAAUGAUGCUUUUUGACUGAGCUCUUCUCUAACCUGAAUGCAAGAGGUUAGGCAUGAAUAUCAUC
ensembl:lncRNA LINC01278 long intergenic non-protein coding RNA 1278